rnacentral:rRNA from 1 species
UAAGGAAUAUUGGUCAAUGGACGCAAGUCUGAACCAGCCAUGCCGCGUGAAGGAUGAAGGUCCUCUGGAUUGUAAACUUCUUUUAUAUGGGAAGAAAUUCUCGCAUUCUUGCGGGAUUGACGGUACCAUAGGAAUAAGCACCGGCUAACUCCGUGCCAGCAGCCGCGGUAAUACGGAGGGUGCAAGCGUUAUCCGGAUUCACUGGGUUUAAAGGGUGCGUAGGAGGGCAGGUAAGUCAGUGGUGAAAUCUCCAAGCUUAACUUGGAAACUGCCGUUGAUACUAUCUGUCUUGAAUACCGUGGAGGUGAGCGGAAUAUGUCAUGUAGCGGUGAAAUGCUUAGAUAUGACAUAGAACACCAAUUGCGAAGGCAGCUCGCUACACGAAUAUUGACUCUGAGGCACGAAAGCGUGGGGAUCAAACA